GACGAACGCUGGCGGCGUGCUUAACACAUGCAAGUCGAACGGAAAGGCCCUGCUUUUGUGGGGUGCUCGAGUGGCGAACGGGUGAGUAACACGUGAGUAACCUGCCCUUGUCUUUGGGAUAAAUUCAGGAAACUGGGGCUAAUACCGGAUAGGAGCUCCUGCUGCAUGGUGGGGGUUGGAAAGAUUCGGCGGUUGGGGCUGGACUGGCGGCUUAUCAGCUUGUUGGUGGGGUAGUGGCUUACCAAGGCUUUGACGGGUAGCCGGCCUGGGAGGGUGACCGGCCACAUGGGGACUGCGAUACGGCCCAGACGCCUACGGGAGGCAGCAGUGGGGAAUAUUGCACAAUGGGCGGAAGCCUGAUGCAGCAACGCCGCGUGCGGGAUGACGGCCUUCGGGUUGUAAACCGCUUUCGCCUGUGACGAAGCGUGAGUGACGGUAAUGGGUGAAGAAGCACCGGCUAACUACGUG
rnacentral:rRNA from 1 species